rnacentral:lncRNA from 1 species
CAUAUAUGCCAUUCAAGAUCGACAUUCUUUUAGAAUACUACAGAGUUAUUUCCACUUUAAAGCAGAGAAAAUUGAGGCACAGGAUGAUUCAAUGAUUUGCCCCUGUCCUCCUGCCAAUAAAGGGUCAAACUGGAAUCAGAAGUCAGCUUUUCUGAUGGAGGCUAACUCCUGUAAAAUCGCAUGUGGAGAAAGGACUCUUGUGUUUGACAGUCUAAGGGCCUUUUCUGCCUAAUCUAAGGUCUGUUUCCCUAUAUGCAGGCUGGGAGGGGUGAUUGUGCAGAGGGACCCUUGGAGAACUGUUACAUUAUGCAAACUUGAUUAUCCUGUCUGACAUUAUUGAUGUCAGCAGCCAUUGUGAAAUGAAGUUUGGGAGAUGGAGUGUGGAAGGUGGCACUUGUAAUUUUUAAUAAUCAUCCUCUUUUACUUCUUGGGGGGAGGCAGUGGGGGAGAAACAGAGCUUCAGGGUUGUGGAUGCUUUAAUGGAAUCUGUCUGUCACAAUAAGGAAGUAGAGAAAGUCUUUUAGCGUUCUACAGGCUAAAUCACAGGGCUUGAACCAUGGUGUUUUUGGUGAACAGAGAUGCCGUACCAUAAAGGCAGAUGGAGAAUGACUGCAGGGUCAAUGAGAUUGUCACCCCCCGCGGCAGGGACAAUGUUUAUUCAUCUCUGAAAUCCUAGUGCCCUUCACAGGGCACUUAGCUGGAGCUGGUCCAGUGAGAGCUGAUUCCAAAUACACUCUAUAAAGGACCUUGUCUGUGUAGAAUUUUGGCAUCUCAGGCACUGUGAUGACCACUCCUCCCAGUUCAAAAUCUCCAUAUCCAACUACCUGAUGAAUUUCUCCCUUUGGAUCCCAAAUGACCAGAACAGGACAGAUAAUGUCCCCUUCAAGAAUUUUUUAUCUUAUGUGAAGUCCAGUGAAUGGUGUUACUGUCUACCCAGUCUUCCAAGUAAGUGUGACAGCUUGGCAUCAUUUUUAAAUUUCCAUUCUCCUUUGCCCCACAUACCAGAUCAUUCACCAAGCACUGCCUCUUCUAUUUUCUCAUGAUCUCUUGAAUUUGUCCACUUCCCUCCAUCUCUACCAACACCUCCUUGGACCAUGCCAACACCAUUUCUUGCAUCUGCAGUUUCAGCAAUCUCCUAAUUGGUCUUCCUGCCAUCACCUUCAUUAAUCCAUUCUCCAUGUAGUAGCUGGAAUGACAUCUAGUUAACCUUUACUUAAAACCUCCAUGGCUCUUGAGGUCAAAGUUCAAACUCAUUACAUGGCCUAAGGCUUUUUGGGGUAUGAUCCCAACGAAUUUCUCCAUCUGUCUCCCAUCCUGCUCCCUGCCUCCCUAUCUUCUUCCAGUUCCUCUAAUGCCACACUUCCCCACACCCAGCCUCCACUCAUGCUGUUUCUUCUGCCAAGAACAUCCUUCCCUGCUCUUGCCUAGCCAAAUCUUGCUUAUUUUCCAUGUCUCAGUCUCAGUUCUUCAGUGGGGACUUCCCUGAAUAACCGUAUAAGCAAACAUUAAUAAAGUUCUUGCUAUGUGACAGAUACUUGCCUUUACAUAGAUUAACCUGUUCAAUCCUCACAAUAACCCUAUGACAUAGAUAACAUACGGUCUACAGUUAGCAGAUGGAGAAACUGAGGCACUAAGAGAUAAAUGAACUUGUCCAAGGUUACAUGCAAGGUAGAAGAGCUGAGAUUCAAAUGCAAGCGUCUUGGUUCCCUAGUCUGUGUUUUAAUCACUACACCCUGACUCCAGACUAUGCUGAGUUGUACCUGCUGUAGCCUGGAAUUCACUUCCACUGCACCCCUAAUGCUUAUGCGGCAUUAUUCUCCCUUCUAUAGUUACAGCAUCACGUGGACAGGAACUGUGUCUGUCUUGUCCACGGGUGUGUCCGCAGUACCUGCACAAUGCCUAGCAUGUCACAGGCACUCAUGAAGAUGUUUUCUGGUUGAAUGAAUAAAAGAUUAAAAUUCUCCCUAAGCAUAUCAGCUGUUGGAGCCACUCUUGUUCCCAGUGUGUUUCAGAUUCAUUUGGGGGCAGAGAGCAAAAGUGUCUGCAUGUGGCAGGUGAGAUGCCCCUAUAUGAGGUGUUUGGAUACAGUCGUAUGCUGAAGAAGACUUUACCUCUUGGUUGGUGUUUCCCUACUUCCACUCCCAAUAUGGAUGGCAGCCAAGCUUUCAUUUUGCAGGUCUAAGCCUCUGUGUCUAGAAAACGGAGGUUUUAGUGACUUGUCUUUUGCAAAAGUAAGAAUUGGCAGACACCAUGGCAGUGGGCGUCCUCUCUUGCUGAGGACAGGAAUGGGGCUAGGCUGCAGCAUGCCUGAUGAGAAGCUGCUGUGGGUGGUUGGGCAGUUAGGCACUAUUUCCCAUGGCCUGGAGAGCAGCUGAGAGGGUCCUGUGGGUCACUCUGUACUAGAAUGGACUGCAGCUAGGGGCGCCCUGAGCCCUUUCCCUGGAGCUGAGUGACAGCUUGAGCUCAGGGGACCAGCAUGUAGAGUAGAAGACUUGGGCUGAGGUCCCGCCCUCGUGGCCCCAUCUCUGUGGGGUGUCCACUACGUGUGAGUCCAGGCCCUUAAAGAUACCAUGGGGUCGGGGGAGUAAUAAUGAAUGCAGUUGAAUUUGCUGUCUCUUGGAUAGUGGCGGUUAUUUGCAGAUGAACUUUGGCUUAAAGAAAAUAAAGAAUGUGGCAUGUCUUUCUUCCUAAUGUUGUGAAUAGGAAUUCAUUCCAGCUAUGCUUGUUGGCACACCUCAAGCACGGUCCAGGGCUCAGGAACAUAUCGGUCUUAUGCAGCUCUUGGAUGCUUACCACAAAAGGAGGGCUGGUUGUGGGUGAGAGCCAUGGCAGAGUCUGGGGCAUGGCAGGUGCAUUGCUGCAGGAUGAGCCUUUGCGAAGGGCUAGGCUUGCUGCUUUGGGGCAGCUCCCAGGAUGGCCACCAGCAGAAAAAGCUCCAGGCCUGGUUCCAUGUUCUUUCUCCGGUCCCCACCUUUCCUUCCUCCACAGCACAUUUUAAAGUCUGAUUUCAGGGGCUUGGGAACGUCCCUCUGCCAGAUCCACCUGCAUGCUUGCGUCUUGGGAUCUGACCACAGUCUUCAACCUUCUGAGGGAGUAGUUACCACCUUUUUAGGUCAGGGAGUGGGUGAUGGUGAGAAGGGAGCAAACAAGCCUCUUGGGAGAGAGUGCAGGGAAGUGCACUGAUGUUUUGGAGUACCUUCCAUUACCAUCAUUGUGCUUAACGUGUUCGUUACGAAGCAGCCUGGUGAUGCUUGCUUCUCCUCCUAUGGGUGACUCCUCCUCUGUCCAACAGGGGAGCCUCACGGUGGGUGCCUUUGCUCAAAGAGGACCCAUCCUCAGGGAGUUUGCAGCCAGCCGAAGGGCAGCCAGGAGUGAAGAGUGAAUGGAAGGUGAGGCGGGAGAGGAAAAUCCACCUAAGCUGAACGUGGCUUCAAUAAUUAAUAGCAGCGGGCAAAGCCGACAUUACAUUAGGAAAAUUUAAUUAGAACAUGCAACUUAUAUAUGUAAUUGGAUGCCUGGGGCAGUAAUAAUGCAUUUUCACAGUACCUCAACCAUCCCCCCAGGCUUGUUUUGACUCAUAAAAAGGGAUCAGUCAUGAAGAGCUGUGAUGCUGGAGUGUUAUUUCUGUUGUCCUGGUGGUCACUUACGUAACCUAGUGUGUAGCCUGGGGCAGGCUGUAGCACCUAGUAGGUAGGUCCUCAGUUGAUAUUUGUUGACUGAUUUAAUGGGAUUUUAUGAUGAGAUUGAAUAAAUGAGGGCACACCUGGUUUUUAGGACUUCCCUGGAUGGCUCCAUGCUUCCUCCUGGACCAAGUGUGUUCAGAUGAGAAUGGCCCUUCCUUGCUGUGGGCACCCUCUUUGCUAGGGUGCCAAGGUCGGAGCUGAUAUUGGUUAUCUCAUCGGGCCUUGCAGCAGCGCCGCAGAUAUUCUGCCUCCCAUUUUGCCCGCGGGGACGCCGAGGCCCGGCGCCGCAUCCUGCCGCCCGUUUUGCCCGCGGGGAAGCCGAGGCCCGGCGCCGUAUCCUGCCGCCCGUUUUACCCGCGGAGACGCCGAGGCCCGAUGCCGUAUCCUGCCGCCCGUUUUACCCGCGGGAAAGCCGAGGCCCGGUGCUGUAUUCUGCCGCCCAUUUUACCCGCGGGGAAGCUGAGGCCCAGUGCUGUUUAAUAUCUUACUCAUGUUCACUUGAUGAGAAAGUGACAGAUCUGAGACAAACCCAGUUCUAGAGGUUAUGACACCAGCCAUGGAAGAGCAGAGAGGCCAAUGAGGUGGGGAGGUUGGAAACAAAAGGCCUUCUCCACCCCAGCUUGACCAACCCAAAAGCUGGAAGGCAAGGAAGACCUAGAUCGACAGAAAAGAAAUGAGUCAACGAUGGUGCAGAAAGGGACCAGCUUGACGAAGCUUCUGCUUUUGUGACUGUCUCCUAAUGCAGAAACCAGAGCACCUCAGAAGAUCAAGGCUUCCAAAUUCUCCUGGGGGAACAGACGUCAGCCAUUCAGCACAAAGGAAACUUCCUUCUCUGUAUGUCAGAGGAAGACAUAAUUGUGCCAUUUCCUUCUUGAAGAAGUUUACAAACAUUUGCAAGUUGUCAAAAAUAAUUAGUCUAAAAUUGUUUCAUAAACCGUGGAAUGAAACAGGAC